GGUUCCGUGGUGUAGGGGGUAACAUGCCUGCCUGUCACGCAGGAGAUCGCGGGUUCAAAUCCCGUCGGGACCG
rnacentral:tRNA from 1 species